UUAGGACCAGGAUGAACAUGGAGGA
rnacentral:miRNA from 1 species